CUUCAUCACCUGAUUCUGGAAGAAGGCAUUUUCUGAAUAUCUCCUGAACUGAACAUUUGAAUUCUCCAGAAGAAGGUCAAGUUUCCAGUGCCAAGCAGAUAAAAAGCCAAAUAUCUCUCCCCAUUAUAAUCCCAAGAAGAAAGUUAAAGUCAGAAUACCAGUGUUCCAGGUGACCUCAUUCAGGAGAACCUGCUGGCAUAUGCCAGUGGAUACAUUCCAAAUGGGAAAGGAUGAAGACCCAAAUGGGGAGAUUCAUCAUGUAAAUAAAAACUACAACAGGAAGUCUUUUGGAAGCCUGACCAGGAUGGAUUAAAUCCAGAUCUAGCAAAAUGACUAAUACAGAUAAUAAUGUGUGUUCCUGAUUUUUAAAAGAGCUGGAAAAGACUUCACAAAAUAUUGAGCCGUCAGAAAACACCUUUUCACAGAAAGAAGAAUCAGAGGAAACUAAAGGAAUAUAAGAAAUAUAAACAAGGCCAUCUGGUAUCAGAAAGAAUAGUGAUCUGAGUCUAACGACCAAUAGGGCUGGGCUCAGUUGAGCCAGAAAAAGCCAUGUGACACUGUG